UCCGACCUACGGGGGGCAGCAGUGGGGGAUAUUGCACAAUGGGGGGAACCCUGAUGCAGCGACGCCGCGUGGGUGAAGAAGCGUUUCGGCGCGUAAAGCCCUGUCAGCAGGGAAGAAGAUGACGGUACCUGACCAAGAAGCCCCGGCUAACUACGUGCCAGCAGCCGUGGUAAUACGUAGGGGGCAAGCGUUAUCCGGAUUUACUGGGUGUAAAGGGGGCGCAGACGGCGAUGCAAGCCAGGAGUGAAAGCCCGGGGCCCAACCCCGGGACGGCUCUUGGA
rnacentral:rRNA from 1 species